UACGGAGGAUGCAAGCGUUAUCCGGAUUUAUUGGGUUUAAAGGGUGCGUAGGCGGAUGCUUAAGCGUGAGGUGAAAUGCCCGGGCUCAACCUGGGAACUGCCUCGCGAACUGGGUAUCUGGAAUGUCCGUGCCGUGGGAGGAAUGUGUGGUGUAGCGGUGAAAUGCAUAGAGAUCACACAGAACACCGAUUGCGAAGGCAUCUCACGAACGGAUGAUUGACGCUGAGGCACGAAAGCGUGGGGAU
rnacentral:rRNA from 1 species